GAAAUCCCUAAAUCCGGGUAGUAAUAGGUAAUUUUCUUGGAAACUCAAAGGAUUUGGGCGGUAUUUUAAUUCUUUUUAGAGGGACCCUGUCCUGUGGUCGACCUUCCCACGAUGAUGAGUUACUAUCCUUUUGUUUUUCAGUUUGUAUACCUCCGUCAUAAGAGUAUCUUUUUAGAGUAAAUAUUCUUAUUAUAGAAAAUAUCAGAUGUCAGGUCAAGGUGCAAUUUAUAGGUUAGAAGAGAUGGGUUACAAUAGAAAUAUCUAUAUGGAUUAAAAUAAUUAUUUAUUUUAUGAAGGUGGAUUUAAAAGUAAAAUUAAGGUUUAAUUAAUUUGACUUUAGCUCUAGAAUAUGCACACAUCGCCCGUCGCUCUUAUUAUAAAAUAAGAUAAGUCGUAACAUAGUAGAUGUAUUGGAAAAUGUAUCUAG
rnacentral:rRNA from 1 species